GACGAACGCUGGCGGCGUGCUUAACACAUGCAAGUCGAACGGAAAGGCCCUGCUUUUGUGGGGUGCUCGAGUGGCGAACGGGUGAGUAACACGUGAGUAACCUGCCCUUGACUUUGGGAUAACUUCAGGAAACUGGGGCUAAUACCGGAUAGGAGCUCCUGCUGCAUGGUGGGGGUUGGAAAGUUUCGGCGGUUGGGGAUGGACUCGCGGCUUAUCAGCUUGUUGGUGGGGUAGUGGCUUACCAAGGCUUUGACGGGUAGCCUGCCUGAGAGGGUGACCGGCCACAUUGGGACUGAGAUACGGCCCAGACUCCUACGGGAGGCAGCAGUGGAGAAUAUUGCACAAUGGGCGGAAGCCUGAUGCAGCAACGCCGCGUGCGGGAUGACGGCCUUCGGGUUGUAAACCGCUUUCGCCUGUGACGAAGCGUGAGUGACGGUAAUGGGUAAAGAAGCACCGGCUAACUACGUG
rnacentral:rRNA from 1 species